UGAUCCCUUCCCGAACUCAGAAGUGAAACCUCUUAGCGCUGAUGGUAGUGUGGGGUUUCCCAUGUGAGAGUAAGUCAUCGCCAGCU
rnacentral:rRNA from 1 species